GCAUAGUGAUGAUGAAAGUUUUAUUUGACAAUGUCUUCUGAAGCAUAAUUUUUGCUAAGUGAUUGAACAAAUAACCUCCUACUCAUUCUGA